AGGAUCCAAGUCAAGAGGGACAGAAGAAAAACUGGAGUAGGAACAGAAGACCUCUGUCAAUCUAUUCUACAAAAGCAAAGAAAAGACACAGACCAUUGACCGCUAAGAUCUGAUGAUACAUGCUGGUUUAAACUACGCCACAAGAAUAAUCAAGCAAAGACGACUUACUGAUGAAACCGUGGAU